rnacentral:rRNA from 1 species
ACGGGAGGCAGCAGUGGGGAAUAUUGCACAAUGGGGGAAACCCUGAUGCAGCGACGCCGCGUGAAGGAAGAAGUAUCUCGGUAUGUAAACUUCUAUCAGCAGGGAAGAAAAUGACGGUACCUGACUAAGAAGCCCCGGCUAACUACGUGCCAGCAGCCGCGGUAAUACGUAGGGGGCAAGCGUUAUCCGGAUUUACUGGGUGUAAAGGGAGCGUAGGUGGCCAUGCAAGUCAGAUGUGAAAUCCCGGGGCUCAACCCCGGAGCUGCAUUUGAAACUGCGUAGCUAGAGUGCAGGAGAGGUAAGCGGAAUUCCUAGUGUAGCGGUGAAAUGCGUAGAUAUUAGGAGGAACACCAGUGGCGAAAGCGGCUUGCUGGACUGCAACUGACACUGAGGCUCGAAAGCGUGGGGAGCAAACAGGAUUAGAUACCCUGGUA